rnacentral:rRNA from 1 species
CGGUGAAGAGCUCGUAGUUGGAUCUCAGCUCACGCUAAGUGGUCCACUUAAUGGUGGUUACUACUUAGCUGAGCAUUUUACAGAUUUGUCUCUUGAUGCUCUUCACCGAGUGUCAAGAGUGGUCUGUACGUUUACUUUGAAAAAAUUAGAGUGCUUAAAGCAGGCAACUCGCCCGAAUAAUCUUGCAUGGAAUAAUGGAAUAGGACCUUGGUUCUAUUUUGUUGGUCUCCGGAAUCUGAGGUAAUGAUUAAGAGGGACAGACGGGGGCAUUCGUAUUGCGCCGCUAGAGGUGAAAUUCUUGGACCGGCGCAAGACGAACUACAGCGAAAGCAUUUGCCAAGAAUGUUUUCAUUAAUCAAGAACGAAAGUUAGAGGUUCGAAGGCGAUCAGAUACCGCCCUAGUUU